GAUCCCCACUGAGCUGCUUUGUCUCCAUGUCUUGCCCUUCUGGAGAUAUCUGGAGGAAGGGACUUCUUCCUUCAGACAGCAGACCUCUGGACAGCAGUCUCUGUAUUGUCUCUGGUGGCUUAGUUUCAUCAGGUUUCCAUUGUGCUCCAGCACAGAUGCUCUCACAAGCUGUGACCCCAUUCCUGUUGGUCUCCCCACAGUCUUACUAUCUGAGGUCCCAGUACUGAAAAUGGACAAGCUUAUAAAGGAGCAAAUCCCAGGGCCUCCCCUGUCACUGUGGGAAGAGCUCCCUGCAGGGAGGGUGAGGAUAGGGAAAACCAUGUUGUUGCUCUGAACAAAUAAGAAGUCAGAUGGGGGGGUGGGAGGGGGGCGCUAAGAAAAAAGCUAAACUAUGCCUGCAGAGAAUUUGUACAGCAGCAUCUCUGUUCCCUAUGUAUGGCACAGCUUGUUAAUGCCUCCCAUAUUGGUCUUAUCCCUCCCCCAAACUAGACUAGAAGCAAACCCAUUAUCUGAAGGGCAUUUGUCUAAAACUCUCCUUUUGUGCCUUGGCUAUCUAGGGCCUGCAGCUGUCACUUCCCAUUCUUCCUGUAAUUGCUCCCACUACAGCUAAUAAUGCAUUUAUCAAGAGGGCUUUAUUUAUUUAUUUAUUUUUCUAUCUCCCUUUAUUAUUAUUAUUAUUAUAUGUAGGUAUAAAAUAGGUCUUUCCCCCCUGCUCCUGCAGAAAAAUAGUAUAAUGAAAAGCAGUGGCUGCCCUGUUCUCCUGCCUCAGAGUAUUGGUUUCUCAAUAUAUUGAUCCCCCAGGGUAGCCUCUGCGAUGUCAGGUUUUCACCUAACUGUUUCACCCCUUUCCAUGAUAGCUCCUAAAAUGAUGCUCUCACAAUUGGACAAAAAGCAAUCCAAAAAGAAAUUUGCUUUGCCAAUAAUUUGGUUUCUCCAAAGACAUGUGGUAGAAGGCAUUUGUGCAUUGCAAGGAGUCAGCCUUCCCCAGGGGUUUUUUGCAGUGGAGCUGGGAUCAAAGAGAUUUGACCCCAGCCCAGGGCUAUCAUGGCAGCUGUAGGUUCAUGGUGUGGCUUUCCAGGGCAAAAGGAACUUGGACAUGUUAAAGAGAGCAGCUGUUGAGAUGUGGCUCUGCAGGCUCAACUUGGCCAACAUUCAUCAUUUCUACCUGUCUUUCCCCUUCUAUCUACCAGGCCUUUCUGGAUGACAAGCUUUGGAAAUACUUCUUCCUGAUGGUACACCAAGUCCAUGUGCACCUUAUGGAAGAGCUGUUGAGAUUUUCACUUCAUCAAUCAAGCAUGCUGUUGUAUUUAAUUGGCUUCUUUCCUAGUCAAUUUGUGGCUAUCUUUUACUGCUUGUUGAAGGAGUGAUGGGAAAGGGGUUAAGUCACUCACUGAACCUACACUUUCUCUAUUGCUCUGUUUAUCUCCCUCAUUUAAAUCAACAGAACCUGUUCCUCAAAAGAAGAAACUUAGCUGUCUCCCAUUUCUGUCUGUGGUUGGACUCCUUGAAAACCAUGGCGGUAUUUCUUAUAUUCCUCAGCUUUUGCCUGCUACUUGUGAAUUAAUGGGGUGAAGUCGUUUCCCUGAACGUAUCAGAAAAUCUUUGUAAGACAGCAAAGAAGAACAGGACCUGGUCCAUCGGGUUUACAGAUAUGGGGCUUGCUGGGACACUUUCUGAUCUCAUGGCUGCCCAGGGAGUUGGGGGAGUUACCAUCCCUGGAGUUGCUCAAGAAAUGUGGGGAGUGGUAUGUAAGGGCAUGGUUUAGUAGGAAAUACUGGUAGUCAGUGUAUGGUUAGAUGGGAUGAUCUUAGAGGUCUUUUCCAACCUUAACGGUUCUCUUAUUCUAUGAAUUCAGGUGCUGACGGGAUCAAGCAAGUAGUCCAGACCCUGAACGCUUUAAAAUCCAUCUCUUAAGAAAGAGAUCUUCUCCCCAUCCUCCCAUAAGGCACUGAUCAUUGCUCAAAAAUUCAGCCUUUCAUCCUGGAUCCUCAAAGAUAACCACCACCCUACGUGUGACCCUCUUCUGGUCCAAAGGAAAUCAUGUCCCCACCAAAGCUGGUGCAGACAUCACAUUCCAGGUUAGGCAUUUAAACACCUUGUCUUCUGCAAUCUAUUAUUCUAUGAAAAGUUGAAAAAAAAGUAUGAAAAACCGUGCAACCUGGAUUUGAUCCUCCCAGGUCUCCAGUCCUUCACAUCAACUUCAGUUUAGAACAUUUAAUAGGCUGUGGAAGGGGCAGCAGCACUGGAUUUAACUCCAAAUGGCACUACUGGUAACUGUUUGGGGAGAAGGGUAGCAUACAGCAUCCAGUACUGGAGAAUGAGGUGUAUUUUCCCAUCCAUGGCUGCUACUUAAUACAAAUCUAAUUAAAUAGUAAUUGCAUGCUGAGCAAAAA